GUGUUGUAUGAACUGAAGGUUAGCGCUCCCUUAGAUGAAAAUGGAAGAGACCCUUGGGCCUAACGACAAGCAUGCGGUUAAGCCACUGCCACCAUCGUUUAAGGCAUCUAACCCCUGCUUCUG